UAAUGCAAGAGGUGGAUCUGUGAUACUGUCACUCAGUGAGAGACCAAGAAUCUUCAGGCCCAAGGAAGUAUUUCUCAAAAAUGAGGAACCUUACCUUUUCAGCUGUCUGAGGACCUUCAAAACACAGCACCCAUGGGACUGCUGGAGUUCUUCCCGAUCCCCGGGGAGACAGGUGGAGGAGGCUUCCAUAUGCAGUUCGACUGAUAGAGGUCCACUGGGAUCUGUCCACACUUCAGAAAAGAUUUUAUCUUAACCAGAAAACAUUUUUUAAGUGCCUUGUCUCGGCUGAAGCCUUUGGUUAAUGGACAGACUUUCUUUGACAUCAGGAAACAAAACAUCAUUUUGAAGGAUAACAUAGAGUCAAGUCAGAAUGAGUUUUAGUUCAAAAUAUUCAAGAAUUCCAUCUAUCACUCAAGGUAACAAUUACCACAUAAAUUCACUGCUUGCUAUUCAAGAGAAAAACUGCUUGUUAUCAUUGAGUCUAACUUAGGUAUUUCAAAGCAGUGUUCCUCACUGUUACUUUGCUUUAUUUUUUAACUUUUAUUCCCCUGGAGUUUAACUUAAGGUUUACAUGAAUUUUCAGAAAGGAAUUUUAUAAGCCAUAAUGUUACACUAGUCAUUGCCUAGCAACAACCCCAUCUAAACAAUGAGCACAAAGCUAUACCGUAUAGCCUAGUUUAUAUUUAUAUAUUUAUUUAGAUAUUAACAAAUGCAAUUUUUAGCCUUGCAAGGAAACAGUCACCUGAUGUUUGGUGUGAUUACAUGGGCUGUCAAAGACAACCUCUGUUCUGAUACAGAAAAUAUACAACUUGAUUGCUCAAAGCUGGAUAACGUAAAGGAUUUCACUGUAGGACCCUGCCUUUAGUUUAUUAGGUCAGAAAUUGGAUUUCAUUUCCUUGUCUCUAUUACUUCUGUCUACAGCAAACCAUCUAACCCUUGAAGUACCUAAAUCCCACAAAAGUCUGUGCGGAGCUGGGGGCAAUGGACACCGUGCUAGAUGCUGAAGGCUGCUCCAAUUCUAAGGUGGGCAUAUAUGCCAAUGCCCAUUCUGAUGUGUGAGUGGAAUAGAAGUAUGAUCUGCCUCUUCUCUUAUUAUCAUCUGUCAUUGCGAGGAAAUCCUCUGUGCUUCCUAAUUCAAGUUAGCAUGGGAAUUCAUCAGAAGGCCCUUAAAAGAGGGAGGAAAAUCAAAUGCCCUCUCAAAAGAAUGUUAUAUUCUGCCUCCAACCAAAGUGGUGAGAGGUGCUUCCCUUAG
rnacentral:lncRNA from 1 species